rnacentral:rRNA from 1 species
GCCUGCAUGAAGUCGGAAUUGCUAGUAAUCGCAGAUCAGCAUGCUGCGGUGAAUACGUUCCCGGGCCUUGUACACACCGCCCGUCACACCAUGGGAGUCGGUAACACCCGAAGUCGGUAGCCUAACCGUAAGGAGGGCGCCGCCGAAGGUGGGAUUGAUGACUGGGGUGAAGUCGUAACAAGGUAAC